UUCUCAGUUUUUUGCUCCUUAGAAGCUUCUUUAUUUCUUGGAGACCUCCUCUUGUUUUCAAGCUCAAUAACAUCCUCUUCAUGAAUAGUUCUACCUCUUUUUUCCUCAACCAUAGCAUCAUGCAUAUCAUCAUCAUGCUUGUCUCCACACAAAUAUGCUUUAAUGUUAAUAGCAUCAAUUAGAUCAUUCCACCCAGUUUUCUUUUUGAUAGCUUCAGCUCCCCUCAUCAUGGCUCUUUUAGUUGACAAAGAAACAGCCUUAACUCCCUUUUGUUCAACUGUAAUAGAAUAAGACUCAGCUCCUUCC
rnacentral:lncRNA from 1 species